GUUAUAGUAGGACCAGGUUAUAGUAGGACCAUGUUAUAGUAGGACCAGGUUAUAGUAGGACCAUGUUAUAGUAGGACCAGGUUAUAGUAGGACCAGGUUAUAGUAGUACCAUGUUAUAGUAGGACCAUGUUAUAGUAGGACCAGGUUAUAGUAGGACAGAGUACCAAGGGAUGUAGGACCAGGUUAUAGUAGGACCAGGUUAUAUUAGGACCAUGUUAUAGUAGGACCAGGUUAUAGUAGGACCAUGUUAUAGUAGGACCAGGUUAUAGUAGGACCAGGUUAUAGUAGGACCAUGUUAUAGUAGGACCAGGUUAUAGUAGGACCAUGUUAUAGUAGGACCAUGUUAUAGUAGGACAGAGUACCAAGGGAUGUAGGACCAGGUUAUAGUAGGACCAGGUUAUAGUAGUACCAAGGCCCAACUCAGGCCUACAUUCAAUCAGAUCAGCGUUAAAGCCAUACUGCCAAUUUCUGGCAUUUUUUCUGCUUCCCCAUGUAGCUCCCUUCAGUAACCACGAGCACAACCGUUCCUUGAUUUUAACUGGCGGCUUUAUUCUGUAGUUUUAGUCAGAAUUAUCACCUUCCGUGAGAACUAUAAAGUAAAUGAAAAAUACAGUUAAGCACACUC
ensembl:lncRNA